UAAAAUAGGCUUUGUCGUAGAUGCUUUUGCCCAACUGUAGGCUAAUGUAAGGGUAAGGUGAUGUAUUCUAGGCUAAGCUAUGAAGUCGGGUAAGGUAGGUGUGUUAAAUGCAUUUUCUACUUAAUAGAUUUUCAACUUAGGAUGGACUUAUCAGGACCUAACCCCAUCAUGAGUCGAGAAAGAUCUGUAUUAGAUUUGGAAUGAGUUUCUCACUAAGCUCAUCAGAUUCUUGGCCAAAAUUAACCUGAUUGCGAAAUGCCCAUGGCUUGUAGUGGGAGAGUGCCUGUCUCCAGAAGCCGGGCUGCAGCAUGCAAAGGGCUGAGCUCGCCCAGUGGGAAUUUCUUAACCCUGGGGCAGAGUAGUGGCUGCAGCAGGCUUUUGCUGUAGACUCUGAGUCACGCCUGUGAUGAAGGCCUUGUAAUUGGCUGCUCUCCCAUUUCUUUGUGGCCUGACCUGAGGGGUUGCCCCCAGCAGCCUCUGGCCACACCACUGCUUUGCCACUGAACCCAGAAAUGGCUCUUCUGCUGAAAAGGAGCUAAAACCUUAAUUUCUUACACCAGUAUUCUCCUCACAGCUUAUUUUCCUAACCUCUGAGACCCAUAGAUUAGAGCUUAGAUCUGGUGUCAGAAAAAGACCUGGAUGUUAGAUCUGAUUUUGCCACUUACUAGCUGGGGCAGUUUCUUUACAUCUUUAUGUCUCCGUCUUCUUGCCUGUUAAGUGGGGGAUGUUUAGUUCUUCACAACAGAACCUCCUGCAUAGGGUUAUUGUGAAGAAUUACUCAGUAGUUGUAAAGAUUAGAACUCAAGGCUUUAAAAACCUCAUCUCUUGGGCAUCCUAGGAAGGCAUUAAGGCCAGUUGAUGGGUGAGGCUGUUCCUGAGUGUGGAGCCAGGUGGCGCACGCACUGCAGGAUAGGAACUAGAGCCUGGCCAAGCAGACAGAGCAGUGCUCCACAGCGUGUACCCUCAUGGAAGGGGGACUUCAUGCUCCCCUUCAGUGCAGCUCAGAGGUCAUCCUCAGUAGUUCAUCCCUCCUGUGAGGGCGCAACCUCAGUGACUGCGGGAGCCAGACCGCAUGGGUUCAAUCCUAGCCCAAGAUUCACCAGCUGUGUGUCUUGGGGACUUUACUUCACCUGUGUGGGCAUUGGCUUCCUCAUCUGCAAAAUGGGUACAACAACCCACUGUUUCAACAAGAGGGUGAUGUGCGUGGUACUGCUGAUCUGGGCACAUGCCCCUCAGCAGCCUGGGAUGGAUGAUCUAGAUGGUGAAUGUGAAUUUUGAUACUAAAGAGAAGAUGUUUUGAGGAGAAAACCCAAGAUAUGCUGGGCUUUCUGGAGAGGCUGUUGUAACUGCUGGUCACCUUGCCUGUGUCUACAGCAGACCAGGCCACGGCAGUGCUUUUGGGUUCCUGGGCGUUGGUGAGCAUGACAGCUGGCCCCAGAAGCAUCUGCAGACCCUGCCAACGUGGAAUCCCAGAGACAGUUCAAGGAAAAACUAAAAAUUCUGGUUUUGAAGUAAAUUAGUCUUUAAAGAGGACUGACAAUCUAUUAUGAAUAAAGCUGCUCCGAUCAUUCGCAUACAACCUCGCUCCUCUCGGAUGAUUAUCUAGAAGUACAAUUUGGGGGUCAUGUGGUUUCCAUGCUUGAAGAAUCUCUGGUUGAAAAUUGUAAGACAGUUGGAGACUUGCUUCCCGUGUGGGAGAGACUCAGAUGGGACAGUAGGGAGAAUGCCACAGGUGUCCCUGGGCAUUGAUAUGUUGUUUUGGUGAAUAAUGAGCAGCAUGUGUGUGUGUGGGGGGGGCCGCCUUCUACGCUGUCUCAGGGAGGCCAGGGUCCACCUACUCUAGGGCAUCUGUUACAGCAGCGGAGAGGCAGGGCCUUGGCCUGGCCACUCAGUGGCCUCGUAUUGUACAUCACUGUUUGGACUUAGGGGCUGUUUUUGGAAUUUCUUUAUUGUCAGUUUCAUUCAAGGCAGAGUCACUCAGAAUGAAGAGGCCCUCUAGGAGUUCCCACUGUGGCUCAGCAGGUUAAGAACAGGACAUAGUGUCCAUGAGCAUGUGAGUUUGAUCCUUGGCCUCGCCCAGUGGAUUAAGGAUCUGGCUUUGCCACGAGCUGUGGUGUAGUUUGCAGAUACAGCUCAGAUCUGGUAUGGCUGUGGCUGUGAUGCAGGCCUGCAGGUAUAGCUCCGAUUUGACCCCUAGCCUAGAACUUCCAUAUGCUGCAAGUGCAGCUGUGAGAAAAAAAAUAAAAAAGGCUGGCCUGGGGCUGCAGGCACAUGGCACUCAAGCAGUGCUGUUUCUGCUUCCUGGCCAAAUUUCUUGACCAAGUUCCUACAUGGAUCAUGUACAUUCUCAUUUUUUCAUUUUUCAGCCUGUCACAACCAGAGACUUCUGCAGAGAAUCAAAACAUGGCAAAGAUUUUUCAUUUCCAUAAACAAGGCCAAAACUGCCUCACGUACUAACUUCACUGACAAAACAAGCUGUGCUGCUUCAUUGAAUUUUCAUGUGUUCCCAACCAGAGGGGAAAAGAGGACAUUCAUCCUCAGCCCAAACGUCAUUGCAACAUUACAAAAAGUAUCAUUUGGCUAUAAACAUUUUUGAGUAGGACUUUUUUCUCACGUCCUGAUGAAAUUGUUUCCCUGAAGUAAGCAAAGCAAUGAGAACAAGACAUAAAACCAAAAAAGACUGAAAAUAGAGGAGAAUGGAGCUCACGUCCCAUCCAGCUGUAGGAAUAACUGCAGAGCGCCUCUGUUUUCUAUGCCAGGAUGCAGACCGUUGCAUGUUAUUUAGCCAGGCCGAGGGGCUAUUUGCUCUGCUUUCAGGAACAGCAUCGGCUUGGCCCUGCUGUGAUCUGAUUUGACUUCACAAAAAGCCUAUGGGUAGAGAGGAUAGUUGUGCCCAUUUUAUAGAUGACAAAAUUUGAGGUUCCAUGAAGCCGAUUAGUUGUCCUCCCUCCUGCUGCAAACUUAGUAGCUAAGCAGAGCGGGUCAUGGGGCGUCAUGGGGCAGGAUGCCUGAGUGUCAGUCACUGGGCUUCAGGAUUUCUUUUCUGCCACAGUGUUCCCACACGGUAGUCGUAAGUGUCUCAGGGCCGUUGGUUACUCUUAGCCACAAACUCCUUACUCCCCCCAUUUUUUUAAAUUAAAGAUUUUACCUAAUUUACAUCCUCUCCUAGAAGCUGGUUCUCAGGCCUGGGCAUCCCACCUGAGUCUCAGACCAUACCAGCAUCUUUCCUUUUCAGCCACUUUCCACAGAGAGAGGAAGUUGCUCAGAGCCUAUCAGUAUUGUCUGAAGGUGGUUUUCUUUUUUUGUUUUUGUUUUUUUGUCUUUUUAGGGCCGUACCCACGGCAUAGGGAGGCUAGGAGUUGAAUCGGAGCUGUAGCCACUGGCCUACACCAACAGCCACAGCAAGGCAGGUUCCGAGCCGCAUCUGUGACCUACAUCACCACGCACGGCAACGCUGGAUCCUCAACCCACUGAGCGAGGCCAGGGAUCAAACCCGCGUCCUCAUGGAUGCUAGUUGGGUUUGUUAACUGCUGAGCCACAACAAGAACUCUUGGUUUUUUUUUUUUUUUUUUUCCAGUCCUUAUUUCCAUAAACAGUGCUUUCUCUAUAAGUCCUUUCAGUAUGGGCUGCAAAUGCCUCCUCCUCACCCCUCUUGACUCCAGACACAACCCUUAACCGGGGGACUGUGGGGUCCCAAACCUCCCCCACUACCAGGGGCCACCUCAGACCCAGAUGUGAAAUAGGUUUUGUCCUUCCACCAGGGCUCCUGCAACACAGGCCCUAAUUGUCUCUGCAUCUUUUUGUGGGAUAAAUAUGAGUCCAUAGUGAAGUUCCUGUUGUGGCGCAGUAGGUUAAGAACCUGACAUAGUGUCCGUGAGGAUGCAGUUUUGAUCCCUGGCCUCACUCAGUGGGUUAAGGAUGCAGCAUUGCUGAAAGUUGUGGCAAAGUUUUCAUUCGUGGCUCGGAUCUGGCACUGCCAUGGCUAUGGCGUAGCCCAGCAGCUGCCACUCCAAUUCGACCCCUAGCCUGGGA
rnacentral:lncRNA from 1 species